AAGUUAAGACUUUGUAUGUUUUUGAUAGUAUCAAGUGUUUUGAACAGAACAUAAUGCAUUGCUGUAUUUUCAGUGAGCACCCUAUCAUAACUUUUGUAUUUAAUUUAACAGGCAGCUAUUACUUAGUUCACUGGGUAAAAUAUAUAUUUCUUGGAGAGAUGUUUUUACAUGCUUUAAGACACAAACAGCCAUGUCAGUAUGUAAAAUAAUUUUGAUUUUUAACUUGAAAGUAUAUUUUUAUUGUAAGGUACAUUCCAUUGCCUUUUGAUGCAAUUUUAUUUUUUUAUUUCAUUGUUGUGAUUUGACACUUAUUGUUCAGCUGUCUCAUUAAAUACCACUAUUUCCAAAUGCUUACUGCAUCAGAUGACAAAAAUAGUGUUUUUCCAGUAUCUCUUGCUCAGUGGAAUUCUUCCUCUGUCACUUUUGCUUAAAGUUUUCUCCCAGGCAUCCCAUGUACCGUAAUUGUAUGGGAUUCCAUAGAAAAUGAGGGGAAGAGGCUGUUGUGAUGUAGGUAGACUAGUGUGGUAGAUUGUGGCGGGUGUGGUUUAGGCAGCUUGACUGGAAUAAUUGUAGUGUAGUCCAUCACUCAUUUGACCACAACUUGAAGCCAUGGACUACCUAUUUAGACAGGUUCCGAAAUGGUCAUUAAGUAAAUGUGUAAACACUGUAUAUUUAGAUAUAGGAGUGUUAUGAUGCUGCAGGUUGCUUUUUUAAUGAUAUAGAUGUAUAUAACACAAUGGUUGACCAAAGAUGAACUUUACGUUGUUUUGUAGCUAUAUUUUUGCUUCCUAGAUUUUUUGAAAAGAUUUUUUAGCUUUGAAAAUAUUUCUGAUUGGCAGAUAUUCUUCAGGUAACUUAGGACAUGACCCAUUCUCUUUUGGAUAUGGUUGCACCCCUUGGAGGGGCUUGACAUGGAGCUGAAUAAAUUUAUCCUCUCCCUCCUGGCAGGCUGAAAGGCAUUUGCAAACUUAUUGUUGCGCUGUGUUUGUUAGAUAACAGUGCAAGGCUGCUGCAUGCCUCUCUCCUUUAUAGUGAUCCACCUGCCCCCUUUCCCAUAUCUUGAAUCUACAAGUUCAUUUGAGUUCAGGGGGGUGGUAACUUACAAGCCCGAAGUACUGUGGAAAUGAAGAACAUGUGGGUUGCUAUAUUGGUGGUGUGCAGUGACCUCCUUUUUAUGAUAACAGCCAGCAUGCUGUACAAUGUGUGCAAACCCGAGCUGGAGGUGAGGCAGCAAAUUUUAAUCCUGAUCUCUGCAAACCCUCUGUUUUUGCAUGUGUAUAUAUGGUACAUUUUUUUAUAAAUAGUGUAUAUUUUGAAACUGUAAAAAACUAUUUGGAUGUGUAUUUUGGACAUCUAAAAUGUGCUAGUCAAAAUAUUCAGAGCAUUGUGAAAGCAGUAUCUUAGGUUUUUUAUGUAUUCAAAAUCAAAAUUUAAAGUAAAAUUGACCUGUAGCUUGUUUCAUGAAAAAUAUAGAUAUAUAAAAUAAAUUUAAUUUGAGGAUUAAUAAUCAGUGCACGGUGUCUUCUGUGUCUUGCUGUGAGGGUUCAAAUACUUACACUACCUUGUGUUGGUGGCUUCUCCAUUAAUAUUGUUGGUUUUUUUUAAAAAAAAAAACCAGAAUUGUAUAUUUUCAUUCCUAAAAACUCUAAAAAUAGUUUAAAUUUGCACUCACAUUUUGUGGAAUUAAUAAAUAAAAAUUAUUCUUUUCCUUAGUGUGCCUGAAUUAAUAAUUGGAACUGAAGUGAAAAUAAUGGUUGCUCACUCUGUGUUUUGUUGGAAAGCUUUUUAAAUAUCAUUGAAUAGUUUGUUUACUUGUGUUUCAUGGCCAUUCUAAAGGCUAUAUAGAAACACUACAACAGUCCAAAAGUUGAAAAUCUAUCUUUGCCAUUAUUGUAUUUUUUAUAUUUUGUUUAGAACUGCUGACUUCAUUCAUCACAGCUUUCUGUCUGUAGUUCUUUGAGGUUCCGAGCUAUAGGUAAAAUAGGUUCUGUGGGAGCAGGGGUGAAAUGGGUAUUCCUGUAUAAACUGUGUUGCAGUUUUGGUCUCUUGUUUCCCUGCCUACCUUUCAAAAAUGUGGAUAACACCCUUGGUCCCAUGACAGUUAAACCUGUGGCAACAUCUAUUAAAGAGAUUUGCCUUAAGACUUAGAGAGAGUUCCAUAGUUCUGUGAAUUAGUGUCUAUUUCUUAAACAAUUUAAGUGCAUUAAAACUCAGGAAUUUGCUGCUUGUCUGCUUAUCUAUAUCAAAUGGUGCAUGUGUGUAUUGAUUAGUUGAUACAAGAAGUGUGCUUUAACUGAAGAUAUGCACAUGGAUUCAAUAGCUAAAACUCAGAAAAAAGAGA